rnacentral:rRNA from 1 species
CAGAGACUGCGAGCGUUAUUCGGAUUCACUGGGCGUAAAGGGUGCGCAGGCGGCCGUGUGUGUGAGGCGUGAAAGCCCGGGGCUUAACCCCGGAAUUGCACCUCAAACUACAUGGCUAGAGCAUUGGAGAGGGUAGCAGAAUUCAUGGUGUAGCAGUGAAAUGCGUAGAUAUCAUGAGGAAUACCAGAGGCGAAGGCGGCUACCUGGACAAUUGCUGACGCUCAGGCACGAAAGCGUGGGGAGCAAAAGGGAUUAGAUACCCCUGUAGUCCACGCCCUAAACGGUGCACACUAGGUCUUGGCGGAUUCGACCCCCCCAGGGCCCCAGCUAACGCGUUAAGUGUGCCGCCUGAGGACUACGGCCGCAAGGCUA